CACUGCUAGCUUCCCAGCUGGCCUCUGCAUCCAAAGGCCAGGCUGAAAUACAUGGACCUACAGAAAGCCUCGUCUUUUCUAUUUUUAAAAUCUCAUGGAGGUACCAACCAGAUAGGACUUGAAUGGAAAAUCACCUGAUAUUACCCGGUUCCAUAGGCUUUUGGCAUCUCCAUUCAUCCCAGAAUAGCCAGUCAGCUCUCUCUGCUGUGUCCUAGAGCACCAGGAAACGAAUAAAUAGUCCUAGAGUGAGACACAAAGGAUAAAGCCAAGUAUCGGAGGUGAGUGGCAAGGCAGGCAGUGGCUCUUCUGCCUCAUCCUCUCUGCGUGAGCAUAUCGGGAGGAGGUCUGGGUGACAGCAACCAUUUGGAGUCUCCUCCCUCCUCACUGGAGAGUAGUAAGACCUGAGGUCUGCAAUGACCCUACUGUCCUUGCCUUUGUUGGGGGUCACUCAGCAGCCAACCCCCUAUGCUCUGGGUUUUUAGUUCAGAUUUUGAUGAUUCCUGGGGGGUGCUAUAGAGUUGUCACGUGCCUUGACAGUAAGUGUAUGGAAGCUAGGUUUACUCUGGCAGAAAGAGAAGUACAGGGACUCCUUAGGAGCAAAGCCUCUUCAGAAAAGAAGAAUUGAGCUCAGUCAUCUCCUUCAGAAGUGCUGGCUCGCUGCUGCUUCUACACCUCACCGUACUGGGGGAAUCUUUUGUGCGGCCACCCUGGGUCCUGUCUGCCUGGACGCUCACCCUGCAGAUAGCUCUCUGCAUUCAGCAGGGUCUGGUCCAGGCCCUCUCAUGGAGGCCGGAGACCACUCUACUCUUCUCCACACACUGCAGAAUUCUGGGGAGGAGAGGAAGGUGGAACACACAUUUUCUUCCUGCUUCUCUAGGUUGCUGGGUCAUCUCUCUUCUUCUUUUAGCUACAAACUCACAGUCUACCCCCUUCUUCUUCUUUACAAGUCCCUUGGGUCCUCCAAGGACCAAAGUAAAAAAAUGUUUUAAAAAUGUGCAGGUUCAUUCUACUUCCACCCUGCCACGUAGCUUCCCCGAAGUGACACUGCACAGGUUCUUCCAUCUGCUUGUGGGGGAGGAAGUUCCAUCUGCUUGUGGAAAAUAAAAGACAAACAAGGGAUACAAUUCAAUGUUUAAAAAAAUAAUAUUUAGGAAAAUCAAUCAUAAAGAUAUUGAUUAUAAAAGCCCACUAUUUUGGUAUAAAUUUGUCAAAUAAUCAAAAGAAGAGAAUCUCAUUUCCAAGAGUUUAUUCAAGUGAAAGCUGGGAAAACCCCUUCAUCUUGGUAAGUGUAGGAGUGGGAGAAAUAGCAUGCAUAAGUCAUUAUUUAUAGACAGCCAUCCACUUCUUAGAAUAUGGUCACUGUAUUCAUACAGCACUGUUUUUGAGGCCUACUAAUAGUGCUUUAUUUGUAUGUAUGUAUGCAUAUAUGUGCACAAAUAUCUAUUUCCUAUAAAACAUAUAGUUAAUAUAGCUAUCUUACAUAAUGAUGAAAUUGUGUGUAAUCACUAUAAUAUAUAGAGAAAAAUAUACACAUCUAUAAAUGUAAAUGUAUAAAAUAAACACAGCUGGAAAAUAAGCACACACAAACAAAAAACAGGUGCAAAUACACUUAUACUAGGGAUCAUUGGGCCCUCUUGCCAACCUGCAAAUACAUUUAUAUGAAAUUGUGUGUAAAAUUGUGUGUAUGCAAUUGUGUGUAUAUGAUAUAGAUACAGAAAUAUAUAUGUAUAUAAAUAUAAAUGUAUACAAUAAACACAUCCAUGUCUCAUGCAUAAAAUCUCCAAGUAAAGGUCAUCUAAAUUUAGUGUAUGUUGCAGAACAGUAAAUGUUGCAAAUAAGAUCUUUGAAAAUGUCUUCUAUGGCUUCUUGUCAGGGGAAUAUGCCCAGGAUGUGAUGAUCGGGACUUAAAGUAUAUACAUAAUUAUUUUCACUAAAUAUGAAGAAAAUCACCAACUGUGUCUGCAUCCUUGAGAUAAAGCAUGAACAUGUCCACAUACAUUUCCACUAAAUUUGGCAUAAUGCAAAUUUCUAAAAUUAAUAAAUUGAUAUAAAGCGCCCUUUUUUUUUUUGAGAUGGAGUUUCACUUUUGUUGCCCAGGAUGGAGUACAAUGGUGCAAUCUCUGCUCACUGCAACCUCUGCUUCCUGGGUUCAAGUGAUUCUCCUGCCUCAGCCUCCCGAGUAGCUGGGAUUACAGUUGCCCACCAUCAGGUCAAGGUUCAUGUCACUGUGUGAUAUCAGUGUCAUUGUGACAGCCGUAAGAGGAUACAGGAGCACCAGUACAACAAAGUCACCUGUUGCGGCUGAUGCUUCAUGUGAAAUCAGAAGACCCAUGAGAGGGCAUCUGGAGACUGGCCCUAAAGUGCUUUUCUCCACAGGAAUGUCACGUGGGCACUGCAGCCAGGUGUCCCAGUUGCCUCUGAGGAGGGCUGCGUUCCCAUCUUCAGUGAGGCAGAGCUGAGAGAAAGCAGGCAGGGUUCAGAGUUCCUUCACCCACUUGCUUAAGCCAUACAUUAAAGGUUCAAACUCAAAUAAAUCUGAGAUCUUACAGAAGCAUUUAGAACCACGUAUAAAGUAUGGAUCACUUUUAAGUAUUUGAGAAUGCACACAAACCACAUGAAGCUACUUUUGUUAAAAGUAUAUGUUCUUUGCAGUAGUGGUUAGUAGUAUUCUUUUGUGAGGUGGCUUUUUUUUAUUUUUUCGAGACAGGGUCUUACUGUGUUACCCAGGCAGAAGUGCAGUGGUACGAUCAUAGCUCAUUGCAGCCUCAAACUCCUGGGCUCAAGCAAUCCUCCCAAGUAGCUGAGACUGCAAGGACACGCCACCACAUCUGACUAUUUACGUAUUUAUUUUUUGUAGCAACAGGGUCUUACAUGUUGCCCAGGCUGGUCUGGAACUCCUGGCCUAAAACAACCCUCCUGCCUCAGGCUCCCAAACUGCUGGGAUUACAGGGCUGAGCCACGGUGCUCUGCUAGCAUUUUGUUGUUGUUUUAAGCAAUCACCGUUUGGAUUCUUAGUUCUCUUAACUUUUAGGUUUUUAACAGUUCAAUACACCUUCAAGUGUUCCUUGGAAUAUUUUUUUCUGGUUUAACUAUUGGUUCAGGCAAUGUCUAUGGCCCGUUAUAACGCUAAGACUCUCUGAUCUGUAUCCAUUUGGUUAGAGAACGUAUGAGUAAAGCAAAGGUCAUUCAAUGACUUCACUCCAAUACCUUUUCCGUAAUCUCUAGUUCUAAAGUUUGCCUAAUGCUUUUGGGUAUUUCACUCUAAUAACUUUUCCGUAAUCUCUAGUUCUAAAGUUGCCUAAUGCUUUUGGGAAAAAGGUGCUUUUGAGACAAAUACUUCAGAGUCCCUGCUCUGCUAAUGCAGAGCCAGUCUUAAUUAAUAGUGAAAAUGACAUUGUUUUGCCUUAUUCAAUAAGAUUAACUGAGCAAACAUUUAUUGAGCAGCAAUUCUGGACAAGACGUUAAGAAACAUACAAAAUGGGUUGGGCGCAGUGGCUCACACCUGUAAUCCCAGCACUUUGGGAGGCCGAGGCAGGCAGAUCAUGAGAUCAGGUGAUCGAGACCAUCCUGGCCAACAUGGUGAAACCCCAUCUCUACUAAAAUACAAAAGAUUAGCCGGGUGUAGUAGUGGGUGCCUGUAGUCCCAGCUACUCUGAAGGCUGAGGCAGGGGAAUCACUUGAACCCAGGAGGCGGAGAUUGCAGUGCUCUGAGAUCGCUCCACUGCACUCCAGCCUGGUGACAGAAGGAGAUUCAUUCUCAAAAAAAAAAAAAAAAGCAAAUAAAAAAGAAACAUACAAAAUGAUAAUAAAUUGUAUUGACAUUAGGAAGCUUAAGGGAAAUAUGACAUACUAAUAAAUUACCGUAAUUAAGGCAUAAUAUAAUAAUAAAAUAAGAGAAUAAAGUGUUUUAAUAAACAUGUUCUACCACCCACAGUUCCCAAUGUGCAGCUUCACUCAGGGGAAGUAAGUUUCUAGGCCAGCCGCUAAGGAUGCAUUUAGUUUAUAUUCAGCCUCUCAAAAUGCAGUUCUGUAAUCAGAAUACAAAAACAACCAACAACAUCACUAGCCCAAACUUCAUUACAUUUCAGGUAAUACUAAAAGUCAUACAAUGCUUACAACAUAAAACUUUGUCGUGGAGAGUAUAUUCAAUAAACCUUACAUGUAAAGCAGUAAGAGCUCUUUGCCUACAAAAUAUAAAAAGUAAUUACAAGUAAUACUCUCAAUACAUCUCAGAUGCAUUGCUAUUGUUCGCUGACUUGCUCAGUUGAUCCUCUCUCAGUCAACUUAUAGCUCUUCCUUACCACUAAGCGGCAGUAAAGGCUAAAUAAUGACGCAAAUCUACUAAUCUACUAAUAUAUAAUUAAUAAUAAAAUAAUAUAUAAUCUACAAAUCUACGUGUUCCCUAUCCAAGUGAAGUUUUCCCAUUAUUUAUACUUAAUAAAUAAAUAAAUAAAUGUGAGAUGGGAUUUUAAACUUCCACAUUAAAAAAAAGAAGAGUGGAGGGAAAAGUGGGGAGGGGAGAAAUAAAGACAUGUGAAUAAAACAUUUGCUUUACCAUUUAUCUUUUAAAAUGACAUGGAAUGCCAAUUUCAGGAUCACUUAAUCUUUAAAAAAAACAAAACAAAACAAAACAAAACUGCAGUCUGAACACCGUCCUUACAAACCUGCCAAUCGCUGGUUCACUGUGUUAGGUCUCCCAUGUUGCCUAUAUUGUCACUGAAUUACACUUGACCCUUGCAUGGGAUUACCCUCCACCCUGUGGGUCUUCACUAACUAGGACCCCAUCUGCCUGCAUGCCAUGCUGACCACUUUCCUUGCCAUCUGUUAGCUCCUUCUUUAGUAUUUGAUCUUCAGGCCCCCACUUCCCCUUCUAGCUCUUUCUGGCACUCUGGUUUUCUCUGUUCCUUUAGCCCAUCCUAUCCCAGAUCAGCUCUCAGAAACGAAAAUGGGGACUUCAGGAGGGAGAAAAGGAAAGCUGUUAUUAUAACCCUUCCUAUCUCAUUUUCCUAUACAUUUCUCCCUUUCUGUCUUAGUCUCUCUCUCUCUCUCUCUAAUACACACUCAUACACACACAGAGAGAAAUUUACAUAGUAAGAGAGAUUAGGAAGGUAAAUUUCUUGGCAGAGUCAGGAAAAGGUUGAAGAGUUGCUGAUAUUAAAACAAAUUUGAAUUAAACUUUUUUAGACUUCAUAGGUAGCUCCUCUCAAAAAGGUUAAGUUAAGGAAUUUUGUUCAGGGCAGAUUACAGAAUAUAUGUAAAAUAUUUGAUACUGUUUUGUUAUUAUUAAAACUCUAAUCAUAUAAUUGUAUAUAAUAUUUUUAGAGUAAAUAAUUAUAUAGUUUAUAUUUCUUUCUAAUCUAGAUAUGGAUUCUUACUUUAGCUUGGAUAUUUGUUAAUCUUUUCACAAUCAUUGAGAUAAAAUCAACUUAUAUUUUAUGUAAAUUAUAGUCCCUUACUGAAUACCAUAGAAUUGUUAUCAUAAAUCUUAAAUAAGAGGUUAUAUGUUUCAUAUAACUUUCCAAAAAUAAAACCAACAGUGUGCUUUGUUUUCCAUUAUUAUGACUCUGGAAGUUAUAAAGCUUUUACUAUUGCACAUAUUGUUACAAAUAAACAGUUUGACUGAAAAUGCGUGCAGUUUCACCUAAAAAUAGAAAACAAAAGCUUUGUUUUAAAAAGCUGUCAAGGAAAAUUUGAAUAAAAGCGAUAUUUUCCACAAUUCAGAUUUAAUUAAUUUUAUAUAUUGCAAUUGAUUUAAAUAGAAUUUUAAUUUCAGAACCAUUUUAGAUUUACAGAAAAUGUGUGAAAAUAGUAUGGUGUUCCUGUAAAGCCCCAAACCCAGUUUUCUCUAUUAUUAAUAUCUUACUAUGGUAUAUUUGAUAUAAUUAAUGAAUCAGUAUUGAUGAACUAUUGAUAUCUAAAGAUCAUACUUGUUCGGAAUUCCUCAGUUUAUUUAUUGUCUAUUUUCUGUUCCAGGAUACAAUUUAGAGCAUAACAUUACAUUUAGGCAUUAGGAGAGAGACUCGAAGUCACAUUGUGCUGCUGGUCCAUUUAAAACUUCCUGUUUGAAGAUGCGUAACAAAUUAUAUUUUCAAGUUUUAAAAGUCACAUUUUUAACUUACAAAAUGUUUAGAGUGCACAUGAGUAUGUGAAACACACUUUCAUGAUUAAAAUACUAAAUUUUGGAAUAUAUAAGUUUUAAUUACUAGAAAAUGUUUUCAACUGUGGGUGUAUUUAGUUUAUUUAAGUGUUUUUAUGAAAGCAUUUUGGAAGUCUCCACCCAUGAAUUGGUGUCUCUUAACUUCUACCUGUAUUUCUAAGUGUCAAUUAUAUAUAUUUUACUGUUUUUCUAUUUAAUGCAUAAAGUUAUUUUUGAGUGCGGUAUAUAUCUUUUAAUAAUAUAAAAGGCAUAACUCUGUUCUUUUUACCUAUUAAAUGGAUAAACUUUUAUUUACGCGUGUCCCAAUAUCACUGAUUCAAUUUUUGCAAUGUGAACUCUGCUUUCUACUCCAAUAAACAAGUCAUUUAAUUAGAGUCUUGUUUGUUUCAUUUCCUUAGCGUUUUCAUUUUUGUGUGUACUUCUGCACCAUCCGUUCUCUUUCCUAACAGAUUUAAGUAGUAUUGAUUGACAGCCUACUCUGUGCCAGUCUUUCCUCCAUGGGACUAGCUUCUAAGUCAACACUUCCAGAGGCUCUGGUUCAAGUGCCCACAGGCGGGUCAGCUGGCUCCUCUCUUUCCAUGGGCACACCCAUCAGUCAGGUCCCUUUGUAGCUCUUUCCAUUGGCUUCUCAUAUUUUUCAUCCCUCUUGUCAACAGAGUCAGUGUUUUCUUGAUUUUUUUUAAAUAAAAAGCUCAUGCUUUUUGAAAUUUAAUUAUAUUUCUUGGACUGAUAUUUUCCUGUUUAUUUUAUACUAAAAACAUGUUUUUCUUCUGAAUUAUUCCUUUCCAUUAAUGCUGUAGGGUGUUUUUAAACGUUCAAAAGUUGUUUUAGAUUGUGUUGUUUUAAUUAAUUUUAUUCUGUUCCUCAUCUUUUAAAUAAAUUAGACCAGGCGUUUUGCUAAUAACACUGCAUGGAUAAAUUCUCCUUGGCCCCAGUUACCGUUCACCUGAUUGCUGUUUCAAUUUUCACUUCAGACCUUAAACUGAAGAGUGGAAUGAUUGUCACAGUCUCUAGCCAUAUUCUAGUGAUUGCCAUUUGUUUUAUAAAGUUCUGAAAGAGAUAAAAAUAUGUAUGAUGCUCUUUCCUAGUUAUAUGAAUAUAUGUAAGAGAGUUUAGUCAUAAAUUAUUUGAUGCAUACACUAACAUAAAUUUUUGAAAAACAGAGGAAAAAAGCAUAACCAAUUCCCAAGGAGCAUGACUCUCUUAAGUUCUUUCUUACCCAUUCCUUUUGACUUUAGUAUUCAAAAGUCAAUAUUUUAGGACACCUUGCUAAUCUACUUCUAUCCCCGAUGGUUUUGCAAUAAUGAAUAAGUAGGUUUCCACAUAAAUGAGGACAAUGUUUCACUAAUGGACUGUGAAGGAAUGCAGGGAAAGAAACAGACAAAUAGACAUGGGUAGGCGGGAGUCACCGGGACAGCUUCUUCUGAAUAGUGAAGGCGCAGGUCUGAGGUAGGGAGUAUGCCGUUGGGUAGACAGAAACCUUUUAUCCCUCUUCUAA
rnacentral:lncRNA from 10 species